rnacentral:tRNA from 1 species
GCCCCAGUGGCCUAAUAGCUAAGGCACUAGCCCUUUAAGUUAGGGAUUGUGGGUUCAAGCCCCACCUGGCUUA